AUGAAACGCUGGCGGCGUGCCUAAUACAUGCAAGUCGAGCGGAAAGGCCUCUUCGGAGGUUACUCGAGCGGCGGACGGGGGCUGAGUAAACACGUAGGAACGUACCCCAAACUGAGGGAUAACUGCCUCGAAAGAGUAGCUAAUACCGCAUGUGGUCUUCGGAUUAAAGCUUCGGCGGUUUGGGAACGGCCUGCGUCUGAUUAGCUAGAUGGUGAGGUUCGGUAAUGGCAUCACCAUGGCGACGAUCAGUAGCUGGUCUGAGGAGGAUGAUCAGCCAGACUGGGACUGAGACACGGCCCAGACUCCUACGGGAGGCAGCAGUAGGGAAUUUUCCACAAUGGGCGAAAGCCUGAUGGAGCAACGCCGCGUGCAGGAUGAAUGCCUUCGGGUUGUAAACUGCAUUUUAUAUGUGACGAUUAUGACGGUAGCAUAUGAAUAAGGAUCGGCUAACUCCGUGCCAGCAGCCGCGGUCAUACGGAGGAUCCAAGCGUUAUCCGGAAUUACUGGGCGUAAAGAGUUGCGUAGGGUGGCAUAGUAGCGAGUAGUGAAAGCGUGUGGCUCAACCAUACUCAGCAUUAUUCGAACUGCUAAGCUAGAGGAUGAGAGAGGUUAUUGGAAUUCCCAGUGUAGGAGUGAAAUCCGCAGAUUGGGAGGAACACCGAUGGCGUAGGCAGAUAACUGGCUCAUUCCUGACACUAAGGCCACGAAAGCGUGGGGAGCAAACGCGGAUUAGAUACCCGCGGUAGUCCACGCCGUAAACGAUGGAUGCUAGCUGUUAGAGGUAUCGACCCCUCUAGUAGGCGAAGGCUAACGCGUUAAGCAUCCCGCCUGUGGAGUACGGUCGCCCAAGACUAAAACAUAAAGGAAUUGACGGGGACCCGCACAAGCGGUGGAGCGUGUUGUUUAAUUCGAUGGUAAGCGAAGAACCUUACCCAGGCUUGACAUCCUUGGAAGGCUUCCGAAAGGAAACUGUGCCCUCGGGAACCAAGUGACAGGUGAUGCCAUGGCCGUCGUCAGCUCGUGUCGUGAGAUGUUUGGUUAAGUCCAUCAACGAGCGCAACCCUUAUAGUUAGUUGGAUUUUUCUAGCACUAGACUGCCCUGGUAACAGGGAGGAAGGAGGGGAUGAUGUCAGGUCAGUAUUUCCCUUACGUCUGGGCUACAAACACGCUACAAUGGCCCGGUAGCAAAGGGCAGCCAAGUCGCGAGACGCGAGCAAAUUCCCAUCAAAGCCGGUCCCAGUUCGGAUUGCAGGCUGAAACUCGCCUGCAUGAAGUCGGAAUCGCUAGUAAUGGUAGGUCAGCACACUACCGUGAAUACGUUCCCGGCCCCGUCUUGUACACACCGCCCGUCAAACCAUGAAAGUCGCCAAUACCCGACGUCCGAGCUUCGCCUCGGGCCUAAGGUAGGGGAGAUGAUUGGGGUU
rnacentral:rRNA from 1 species